AAAAGACUUAGUCCUAACCUUAUUAUUGGCUCUUGCUAGACAUAUACAUGCAAGUAUCCGCACCCCAGUGAAAAUGCCCCUGAAUCUUCUCACCUCCUCAGAGAAAAAGGAGCAGGCAUCAGGCACACCCGCCAGUAGCCCAAGACGCCUUGCUAAGCCACACCCCCACGGGUAUUCAGCAGUAAUUAACAUUAAGCAAUAAGUGUAAACUUGACUUAGCCAUAGCAACAACCCCAGGGUUGGUAAAUCUUGUGCCAGCCACCGCGGUCAUACAAGAAACCCAAGUCAAUAAUCCAUCCGGCGUAAAGAGUGGCUACAUGUUAUCAAACCAACUAAGAUCAAAAUGUAACUAAGCUGUCAUAAGCCUAAGAUUCACCUAAACCCAACCUCAAAACAAUCUUAGCCACCACGACCAAUUUCAACCCACGAAAGCCAGGGCACAAACUGGGAUUAGAUACCCCACUAUGCCUAGCCCUAAAUCUAGAUACUUCAAUACCUAAGUAUCCGCCUGAGAACUACGAGCACAAACGCUUAAAACUCUAAGGACUUGGCGGUGCCCCAAACCCACCUAGAGGAGCCUGUUCUAUAACCGAUAAUCCACGAUCCACCCAACCACCUCUUGCCAACACAGCCUACAUACCGCCGUCGCCAGCCCACCUACAUGAAAGCGCAACAGUGAGCUCAACAGUCCCCACUAACAAGACAGGUCAAGGUAUAGCCCAUGGAGGUGGAAGAAAUGGGCUACAUUUUCUAGCAUAGAACACUCACGAAAAAGAGCAUGAAACCUGCCCUUAGAAGGAGGAUUUAGCAGUAAAAUGGGACCAUACAUCUUAAGCCCAUUUUAAGCCGGCUCUGGGGCACGUACAUACCGCCCGUCACCCUCUUCACAAGCCACCUCCACCGAUAACUAACACCCUCCCCGGCCAAAGACGAGGUAAGUCGUAACAAGGUAAGUGUACCGGAAGGUGUACUUAGACCAC
rnacentral:ncRNA from 1 species